GUACUGCUGACGUGUUCCAUACUAGGACUGAACGACCGUCCAGUAC
rnacentral:hammerhead_ribozyme from 1 species